rnacentral:rRNA from 1 species
ACGAACGCUGGCGGCACGCUUAACACAUGCAAGUCGAACGAGAGAAGAGGAGCUUGCUUUUCUGAUCUAGUGGCGGACGGGUGAGUAACACGUGAGCAAUCUGCCUUUCAGAGGGGGAUACCGAUUGGAAACGAUCGUUAAUACCGCAUAACAUAAUUGAACCGCAUGAUUUGAUUAUCAAAGAUUUAUCGCUGAAAGAUGAGCUCGCGUCUGAUUAGCUAGUUGGUAAGGUAACGGCUUACCAAGGCGACGAUCAGUAGCCGGACUGAGAGGUUGAUCGGCCACAUUGGGACUGAGACACGGCCCAGACUCCUACGGGAGGCAGCAGUGGGGAAUAUUGCACAAUGGAGGAAACUCUGAUGCAGCGAUGCCGCGUGAGGGAAGAAGGUUUUAGGAUUGUAAACCUCUGUCUUCAGGGACGAAAAAAGACGGUACCUGAGGAGGAAGCUCCGGCUAACUACGUGCCAGCAGCCGCGGUAAUACGUAGGGAGCGAGCGUUGUCCGGAAUUACUGGGUGUAAAGGGAGCGUAGGCGGGAUCGCAAGUCAGAUGUGAAAACUAUGGGCUUAACCCAUAAACUGCAUUUGAAACUGUGGUUCUUGAGUGAAGUAGAGGUAAGCGGAAUUCCUAGUGUAGCGGUGAAAUGCGUAGAUAUUAGGAGGAACAUCAGUGGCGAAGGCGGCUUACUGGGCUUUAACUGACGCUGAGGCUCGAAAGCGUGGGGAGCAAACAGGAUUAGAUACCCUGGUAGUCCACGCCGUAAACGAUGAUUACUAGGUGUGGGGGGACUGACCCCUUCCGUGCCGCAGCAAACGCAAUAAGUAAUCCACCUGGGGAGUACGACCGCAAGGUUGAAACUCAAAGGAAUUGACGGGGGCCCGCACAAGCAGUGGAGUAUGUGGAUUAAUUCGAAGCAACGCGAAGAACCUUACCAGGUCUUGACAUCGUAUGCAUAGCUCAGAGAUGAGUGAAAUCUCUUCGGAGACAUAUAGACAGGUGGUGCAUGGUUGUCGUCAGCUCGUGUCGUGAGAUGUUGGGUUAAGUCCCGCAACGAGCGCAACCCUUACUGUUAGUUGCUACGCAAGAGCACUCUAGCAGGACUGCCGUUGACAAAACGGAGGAAGGUGGGGAUGACGUCAAAUCAUCAUGCCCCUUAUGACCUGGGCCUCACACGUACUACAAUGGCUGUCAACAGAGGGAUGCAAAGCCGCGAGGUGGAGCGAACCCCUAAAAGCAGUCUUAGUUCGGAUUAUAGGCUGCAACCCGCCUACAUGAAGUCGGAAUUGCUAGUAAUCGCAGAUCAGCAUGCUGCGGUGAAUACGUUCCCGGGCCUUGUACACACCGCCCGUCACGCCAUGGGAGUCGGUAACACCCGAAGCCUGUAGUCUAACCGCAAGGAGGACGCAGUCGAAGGUGGGAUUGAUGACUGGGGUG